GCAGUGGUGGUUCAGUGAUAGAAUUCUAGCCUUCAGUGCAGGAGACCCAGGUUUGAUUCAUGGCCAAUGCA
rnacentral:tRNA from 1 species